rnacentral:rRNA from 1 species
GACGGAGGAUGCAAGCGUUAUCCGGAAUUAUUGGGCGUAAGGCGUCCGCAGGUGGACAUACAAGUCUGCUGUCAAAGUGCAGAGCUUAACUCUGUAAAGGCGGUGGAAACUGUAGGUCUUGAGUAUGGUAGGGGUAGAGGGAAUUCCCGGUGUAGCGGUGAAAUGCGUAGAUAUCGGGAAGAACACCAGUGGCGAAAGCGCUCUACUGGGCCAUAACUGACACUGAGGGACGAAAGCUAGGGGAGCGAAAGGG